rnacentral:lncRNA from 1 species
GUCUUUCUUACCAUUAAGAUUUCCAGGAAGGGUUUGAUCUAAAUAAUGAAAGAGGUGUUUUAUUUCUCACCCCAUGCAGGACAGGGCAGACGGUGGACUCUGGGGAAUAAGAGGGAAGCAGUAAAGGUGUGGAAUAUUCAGUUUAUAUUUAAUGGGAUUAUGGAGAUUUCCACAUAUUUCAUCUGGAUCUUCAUGACUUGCAGUGUUUCACUGGUUCAAACAGAGGAACUCCCUCAGCUCACUGUCUUCAUCCAAUAUACAACUGGCGUCACAAAAUGGAGGCAGGAUAAUCAGAAGAUCAACUGGAAGAGUUGUGAAGAGAUGAUUCAGUCUGCUGUGGAAUAUCUGAGAAUAAAUAUGAAGAAGAAUGGUUAGUGAUUUAAUUAUUCAGUAAUUCUUCUUUUAUCUCUGUGAGAUUCCUCGUAGUUUGUAAAAGUAAUUGUGUUUUUCCUCAAUUUCAGUUGUUCUUGUUCGCGUGAAUAUAACCGACUGUGAGACUGGAAACAGCAGAUCAGAGAACAUUGUGAGCGACAUAAAUCAGUGCAGCUAUAAUAAUGACACGAACUGCACUACAGUAUACUCUAAAAUACUCCAAAUGUAUGAGUCACUCAACUGGAAGAGAAAGUAUGAAGACUGGCUCAAGAAAUCCCAGGAGUAUUGCAGAAACGCACAAAAAGGUGAAUCUUAUUAAAACUGAUACUUUAUUAAAAAUGUGAAUUGUAUUGGUUUGUGGUAUGGGGAGAUUGAGAGUUCAGUGAUAUUCUUACCUCUCAGUGCAGUUCAUAUGACUCAUUUAUGUUUAGAACUGUUUUCUUUACAGAGAAAAUCCGAGAUUCAAGCCCAGAAUUUCUGCUGGCGACCAUUUUGCCUGGAGUUCUGCUGGUGUCCGUGGUUAUCUUCAUCUAUAUUAAGAUGAGAGUAACUGGUGAGUAUAUAAUUUACUUUAUAAUCAGUACAAUCCAAAAAUUGCCAAUGAAAUUCACAGGGAAUUCAGCAUCAAUAAUCCAAACAAAUCCUUUAAACUGCCAAACUCCAAAAGUAUUGGAACAUUGAGGUCAGAAGACACUGUAGCAGCUUCUGUCUGAACCCAUGCAUUUUUCUUGUGAGAAAAGUUUUGGAACUGUGACUGUCAGAUGUGUUUGUUUCCCAGAUGUGUCAUGAUAUGAAUUGUUUUCAACUAUUCAGCUAUUUUCUGGUCUAUUUUAAUACACAAGACGAACCACAUUACAAAUUGCAUUAAGUGACACU